rnacentral:lncRNA from 1 species
AAAAUGAAAAAGUCCUUAUGCUCUUCAAGGGCAAAAUCGUAAUUUCACUAAAAUCCUGAUUUGAUAGUAUCAUUUGAUAGAACAAAUGAUUUGUAAACUAUUGGUGAAAAUUUUAUUAUUUUUGGACUUAUAUUUUUGAAGUUAUGAAGGUUUGAAUUGCAUGAGUCGACCCGUGAGUCAACUCAUGGCACUAUGAGCUGAUUGGCACGC